UACGUAGGGUGCAAGCGUUAAUCGGAAUUACUGGGCGUAAAGCGUGCGCAGGCGGUUAUGCAAGACAGAGGUGAAAUCCCCGGGCUCAACCUGGGAACUGCCUUUGUGACUGCAUAGCUAGAGUACGGUAGAGGGGGAUGGAAUUCCGCGUGUAGCAGUGAAAUGCGUAGAUAUGCGGAGGGACACCGAUGGCGAAGGCAAUCCCCUGGACCUGUACUGACGCUCAUGCACGAAAGCGUGGGGAGCAAACAGG
rnacentral:rRNA from 1 species